rnacentral:rRNA from 1 species
AUUGAACGCUGGCGGCAUGCUUUACACAUGCAAGUCGAACGGUAACAGGCCGCAAGGUGCUGACGAGUGGCGUACGGGUGAGUAAUGUAUCGGAACGUGCCCAGUCGUGGGGGAUAACGCAGCGAAAGCUGUGCUAAUACCGCAUACGAUCUAUGGAUGAAAGCGGGGGACCGUAAGGCCUCGCGCGAUUGGAGCGGCCGAUAUCAGAUUAGGUAGUUGGUGGGGUAAAGGCUCACCAAGCCGACGAUCUGUAGCUGGUCUGAGAGGACGACCAGCCACACUGGGACUGAGGCACGGCCCAGACUCCUACGGGAGGCAGCAGUGGGGAAUUUUGGACAAUGGGCGCAAGCCUGAUCCAGCAAUGCCGCGUGCAGGACGAAGGCCUUCGGGUUGUAAACUGCUUUUGUACGGAGCGAAACGGCCCUCUCUAAUAAAGAGGGCUAAUGACGGUACCGUAAGAAUAAGCACCGGCUAACUACGUGCCAGCAGCCGCGGUAA